rnacentral:ncRNA from 2 species
GUAUAAGCUCAUAAUAUGGUUGAGCGUCUCUACCAACCGCCGUAAAUGGUUGACUGC